rnacentral:rRNA from 1 species
GUACGGGAGGCAGCAGCUAAGAAUAUUCCGCAAUGGACGAAAGUCUGACGGAGCGACGCCGCGUGGAUGAUGAAGGCCGAAAGGUUGUAAAGUCCUUUUGUCGACGAAGAAUAAGUGGGGGAGGGAAUGCCCUCAUGAUGACGUUAGUCGGCGAAUAAGCCCCGGCUAAUUACGUGCCAGCAGCCGCGGUAACACGUAAGGGGCAAGCGUUGUUCGGAAUUAUUGGGCGUAAAGGGUACGUAGGCGGUCCUGUAAGCCCGGCGUGAAAUACUGGAGCUUAACUCCAGAACUGCGCUGGGAACUGUAGGACUUGAGUCAUGGAAGGGGAGUUGGAAUUCCAGGUGUAGGGGUGAAAUCUGUAGAUAUCUGGAAGAACACCGGUGGCGAAGGCGAACUCCUGGCCAAUGACUGACGCUGAGGUACGAAAGUGCGGGGAGCAAACAGGAUUAGAUACCCUGGUAGC